GCAUGUGGCUUAGUGGUUAGGGCAUUUGACUCACAAUCAUAAGGUCAUGAGUUCAAUUCCUGUCGAUGCG
rnacentral:tRNA from 1 species